rnacentral:lncRNA from 1 species
GACCCUCUUCUCUUAUAUUAUAUCAUCGACAUUAUUCGAAGUUGCUUUGUCCUUACAACAUUGGCCUAUAAAAACUAUAUCUUGAUUACAUGAUUGUGAGGAAUAAUUGCCAAGCACAAAAGGCAAUCUCAACCAAUGUGAUGUGACUUUAAACUUCAACAUUACAUUAUGUAUGUAGAAUCUACUUUCUCCUCCACAUGACUAAGUAUUUUUGCCAAGAUAUGUGCUAUAAUUUACAAUUGGCUUGUGAAGAUUAUGAUAUCUAGCUCAAUCAACAUCAUACCUUUUAACAUGCAUGUUUCGGGUGGUAGAAUAUAAGAUACUCUGAUGUGGACUUGAUCUGUCCAAGGAAUCCCUCUAUAAUCUGUAGAAGAGAAUGAAAAAAAGGGGGAUUCAGACCAUCAAUAGUGAAAGUUAUGCUAAGACUUAUCAAAGUAAAACAUAUAACCUUACCCACCAAAUUUUUGAUAUUUCCUAGCGUAUGCAAACCAAAAUUCACUUUAACCAGUUAUGGUAGGUUUGUAAAAAAUCUUUUCUUUUAGUAGAUCCCAAGCAUAUUUUCUGUGACAAAUAAAAUUGUUUUGUUUGUACCCAAAUCUAAUUAUAACAAUCAUGAGCCUACCAAAACAUGUCCAACAAAAUAGUGUUAAACAUAGUCUUCUUUAAUUUGCAAACCUUGUCAUGUGUUGUAUACUUGAGGGAACACUGCAUCUAAACUUCCUCUUAAAGAUCAUCAUUUUAAAAUAUACUUUUCACAUGAUGCAAUUAUAUAACUUCCAUAAAUAUUUCAGAUUAAGAGAAAGCAAAAUUCCCGUAGGUACUUAUUUCUCCACUAGUGCUAAAGCAUCAUGUUAACUAAUGCUGUUUGUUUGUGUAGAUCUUUGUGAAAAGAACUUUUCUUUCAAUUUAUUCAUACCAUCAUCUACUCAACAUCUGAUAACAAUGAGCCACUUAGAACCAUCUAGUUUCGUCCCUUUGAGGGAUUCAAAAGCCAUCAGGUCGUAUUUCUCUCAAACAUUCUUAUUUUCUCAUCGAUUCUAUAUAACAACUAUGAAUCUCUCAUGACACCUACGAAGGAAAUGUAGCUAGUGAACAAAUACACAAAAACGAAAUGAAUGAAUACUCUAAAAGCAAGAGGAGAACAUAACAAAAAUGUAUGAAACUAAGAAGUUUGGUACAUACUCUACUAAUUUUCACAAGUGGAAUAAGACAAUAAAUAUUAUUGAGAAUGAAAAUUUUACUAAGAUUAGAUUCUUCAAAUUUAUCAUAGUCACUUAAAAUUUCUUACUGAUCAUCAGCAGAAGUAACAUGAUUUCUUGACAUACGUUAGACAAUUUAUCCUCCAAAUAGUCAUCUUUUUCACAAUGACUUAUGACAUAAAGGAUAAAAGUUAUAGUGAUUGGUAGAAGCUGAUAAGAAAUGACAGUAUGAGCAUAAGAAGAAAGGGUCACUAAUCUCUCUCUCUCUCUCUCUCUCUCUUUAAGGAAAAUUCAUAAGGAGAAUAACGCUCUCAAUAAUGGUAAAGCCUUUAGAAUCAUAUUUCUGCCCCAUUUGGGAAUCAAGAUAUUUAUAGAGCUUUUUUAGGAGAUAAAAGUAAAAUAAAAGUCCUUGAUACCAUGAGCUUCAAGGUCGGAGGAUCUAGGUUGAACGCGAUCAAGAAAGAAAAGACAUUAAAAAGUGAAUGGAAGAAAAUAUAAUAGAGAAAUAAUAUGGUAUACGGGACAAAAAAGGCAUUGAUUUCCUCGGACCAUAUCCCAUUCCAUGAGUAAUUUAUGUCGUCAAAAAAGACAACAAUUCAAAGCUUGUUUUCAUAUGUAACAAGCAUUAAUCAGAAGAGAAAGCAUUCAUGAAAAACAGUUAUUUAAUAAUAGCUAUACCUUUUCAUUACGGAAUAUAAAUAAAAAGUAAUUAAUCAAAGAUGCGUUUCAUUUUCCAAAAUGAUCCUAAAUCAGCCUAUAUAUUACUUGAACGAUAUGAGAGAGUUUUCUCCCACUCAGUUCAUAUUGACCUAAAUCAAAUCACUGUGUGUAGUCAUAAAUAUACCUCAAAAAACAUCUAAAAUCAUAUAUCGAUAUGAUUAGUGAGGGGCCCCACACAUUGUAAUCAAUAAUGUCACUGAGGUGAACCCACUACAAAAUAUUCAUAAUAAAAAUAAAAGUAUUUAUUUUACCUAUAGAGAAACCCAUAAGAGCCACUUUGGAAGCCCUAAUCAGCAACUAACUCAUGAAAAAGAAAAAUUAAUGCACUAACUAAAUGAAUUAACUAAGUAUAUCAUCUUUGCAUGAAUUUUAGUAAAUUGACUAUGUUUCCCGAAGCUUUUUUAAUUUUAUUAUUUAGGUGUUCUUUUUUGGUAAUUUUUAUUUUUAAUGAUUUGUCUUUCACAACAUUGUUAUUUUUCUUUUUGGUAAUUGUCAUUUUUCUUUUUCUUUUCCCAGUCUCUAAUUGCAUAAAUUAAAGCAUUGUCAGUAGCCCUAUACAGAGCAUUUUCCACAUUUUUCUAAUAAGAAGUUUGUCAUACAAUUGUUUCAGUAGGAAAGACAGUCCAUGUUGAAAAUCAAGCUCCAUUGAACCUCAAAUUCUGAUUUAGUCCUUUUACGAACUGAAAAUAUUGCUUUUUAAAUAUGCUAAACGUAUUUGAUUUACUUGGGUAUGGUACCAUUCCCAGCGGUUGUAAAUGAGUCAAGCUGCUCUUGUUUGUAAAGAGUGCUGAAAAUUUACAUUAUUACAAGAUAUCAUUUUUUGAGUAUAUAAAUCACACAAACUUGUAGCCAUGAAAUGCACCUUUAUUUUAGGCAGAAAUCGCAAAAAAAAAACAACAUUUCUUCUUUAUAUUAUCCAUCCUUGAACUCAACUGCUAGUUAUCAUUGUUAACUUAAUUGAGCAUGGGUGAUGUUACCACACAAUUGCUCACGCUCAAGUUUCAUACAUUGGGUUUGUCUUACUUGGCAUAACCACUCUAAAUCAUAUGAUAUAGAGGUAGUGUUCUUAACCAUACCCAUCUACCAACUUUGUUAAAUUUUUGAGAAGUACACGUUUGUCAAUUAAAAUUUUGAUAAGUUUCAUAUGACACGUCAAUUAAAACUGAUUUUCCCAUAAUUAAAUGGUGUUUAAUGCUGAUCACAAGAGGUCCCUCACCAAAUAUUAGUAACUACUCCUCCCUUCACACUAAGGGGAGCAAUAAGCAUACCAGUGAGGACCACCACAGUAUGCGAGCAACCUUUCGAGAGAGAUGUGAGGUUCCCUUGAGCAGAUGACAUGGCCUUAGAUGAAAACAUUAUGAAUAGUCAAUGUGAGCUUAUACAUGGAUUCCAAGGUUCAGAAACACGGAUGCAAAUGACAUUGAUGUCUUGAAAUUUUGGCCUCAAAAUCAUAAAUAGCUUUUCUCUACAUACUACAAAUGAUACAACGAAGAGAAUACUUCAUGUAAUAGCAACCAAGGUAUAGCUUCUCCCCAUAUAAGAUGAAGAAAAUCCAAGAGAGCACAAAGAUGUUAUGUUCCACUUGGAACGUACGUGGUUCAAAUAUUCAUCACCCUCAUUAUCAAUUUGCCCUAACACAGUCCAAUCUAUAUACUAUUGGGCUGAGGGUUGAGUACACAAAUGGGCCCAAGAGUGUGACCCUAUUUGAGGACAGGAAAAAGUACCGACUCUUUAGUGUAUAACUAGGUAGCAUGAGUACUCUCUUUCAUGAUCAUGCAACUUUUCAUCAAGGCAGCAUGUACGAUUCUGUGCCAAUGUAGCCACUUGACAGACCAUAUAUGACGCAAGAGCGUCUUAAUUUAGUAUGGAAGUAGUCAUGUGACUAGCAUAUGACCUUUACUCAUCGCUAAAAUUAUUAGAGUAUCGACAACUAGUGUGUAAACACUUUCCAUUUACACUAAAUUUUCAGUGCGAAUUUAAGACUCUUUUAGUAUAUUCUUUUUCUCCCACAUUUUAGUUGCGUUCGAGUUCCCUAUAAAUUUAUUCUCCCCUUCUACAUAACUAGAUAUUUACAAUCUAGGAAAGCGUCUGCUAAUUUGAGUUACGUCCAAGCAAAAGACGCCUUCAUUAGAUGAUUACCAAGUGAAAACUCUAAGCUGCCUGUUCACAUGUUCGCACAAUUAGAUGAGCCUAUAGAGGUUGCCCAAAUUUGUACUAUGUAGAGGUGUCCCCACGGCAACCUUUUGUCAUUACUACAAAUACCAUUUCUCUCUUUUCCCCUUUUGUCUGCAUAUAGUUUUAAAUUUUCUUCCACAAAGAAAAGAAGGACUCGAAAGUGAUCAAGUUCAAUUAGGGAACGAUUUUACGCAAAGGAUAAUAAAAGAUCAAUGGCACAAGUGCUCUCAUUUUUUUAUCAUUUAACAAAAAGACGUCUAAAAUAUCUAUGAACAAGGCAUGGAAAUUUUAUUUUGAGAAGAUGUGUCGCCAGCAUCUGUCCUCUGCCAAAACUUUGGACUGACUGACAAUACAAAUGACUCAUGUCAGCAGAGCUUUAUUAGAUAAUUACUGUAUGCUUUCCAAAUCCACAAUCCAAGAUUACAAGAAUAGGCGACAAGAUGAAAACAAAUUUAUUGUCUUCUUGUAAAAAAGGUAACCUUUCACAAACACUUGAUGAAUCAGUUAUUCGAAGGAAUGAAUAUGGAACUUUUAUAAAAAAAAAAUUGUGUAAGAUUAUAACACAUAUUAUUAGGAACAGAGCCAGGGGGAUAUGGACAUGCUACGGCAGGUCUUCUGUCAUCAAACUGAGUUGUUACGUCGAUCAAAGAGAACGUAACAAUGUUAUUAACAAACCAUCCCAAAGGAAGAAGAGAACAGCAAACCCUACGGAUAACUACUAGGAAUAGAUAGUUCACAUCUUGAUAUUACAAUGAGUGCAAAUUGGCAAUCGGAUCCAAUAAUGCACGAGUAAUAAUGCAUACACCGGAUCCGCUUGAAGAUCCUUACAUUCACAUGAAGAAGAAAAAAAAAAUCUUCAUGUGGUUCAUCAGCACGAGUCACUUGAGCCACGAAAAAAUAGAUUCCAGAAAAUGUUAGCUGAGCGACCGAUCCAUCAGCGUGCCGAGGGAAGGAGAGUGACGACAGUAUUAUUUAUUGAGACCCAAGUUCCUCAUCAUUGGUCUUUAGAGAACACUGUCCUUGCUUCAUGCUCAGGUCUAAGAAAACCUGAGAAGUAAGGUAUCAGAAUGGUUCAUUCUGACGGUGAGUAAAGCAUAUCUUUACGAGAACGGACGGAGUGGCGAUUUCCUUAUUUGUCGAAAACUACCAUAAACACGUCAAAUGGUCAUUCAGAUUUAUUUGCUUGCUUCAUGCCCAGGUGAAAUAAGCAUAAGCAAGCAUCAUCCACUACCUUUCCCAAUUUCAAAUGAGCACUCAUCAGUGACAAAUGACGAAGUAAAUCUGACGACCAAGCAAGGUGUCAGAAUAGUGUGUUUGGGGGUGUCCAGCAAAUGAACACCUUUCUCUCCGUUCCUUUCAUCUGCACCUUCCUCUCCAUUAUGAUACAAUGAACUAAACAAGUAGAUGUAAUAUCUAAUCAAUUUCAGACAAAAGUACAGACGGCAGCAGAAACUAAAAAUUACAACGAAAAAUAAUAACACCAAAAGCAAAAGCAUCACUAGCAGUAACGCUCCGAAAUCCGCAAUAACGACAUCAAGCUGAGACAACAACGGAAAACAAGAAAAAAUACGAUGAAGCAGAAUUCAAAGAAUCAAGGCAGGAGAAUCAGAGGCUCACAAAGGCGGUGAUCUCGUUGAGUCCCUUGAGCGACGAAUGAGUUUACGGACAGAAGCCCCGCGGUGAUCAGCCAGACCAUUCCCCAUCGCCUAGCCCCAACGCUUCUACAAGUCUGGACCAGAUCUUCCUCGCAUUACAAGGAAACACAAAUCAUGAUCAUCCGUGGUGGCACGUUGAUUGAAGCUCCAGAGGCGGUGGGCUGCACAGACAGAAGUAUGGAGAGAGAGACACAAAUAUCUAGAGAGACAAAGCGACAGAGAUCGAAAUAUAUAGACGCAGGGGAAGUAUCUGGGGAGAGUAUCCGUGAGAAGAUGUCUAGAAGUAUCUGGAGAGAGAAGAAGUGUCUAGA